rnacentral:rRNA from 1 species
AUUGAACGCUGGCGGCAUGCCUUACACAUGCAAGUCGAACGGCAGCACGGGAGCAAUCCUGGUGGCGAGUGGCGAACGGGUGAGUAAAGUAUCGGAACGUGCCCAGUCGUGGGGGAUAACGUAGCGAAAGUUACGCUAAUACCGCAUACGAUCUAUGGAUGAAAGCGGGGGAUCGCAAGACCUCGCGCGAUUGGAGCGGCCGAUAUCAGAUUAGGUAGUUGGUGGGGUAAAGGCUCACCAAGCCGACGAUCUGUAGCUGGUCUGAGAGGACGCCCAGCCCAACUGGGACUGAGACACGGCCCAGACUCCUACGGGAGGCAGCAGUGGGGAAUUUUGGACAAUGGGCGAAAGCCUGAUUCAGCAAUGCCGCGUGCAGGAUGAAGGCCUUCGGGUUGUAAACUGCUUUUGUACGGAACGAAAAGGUUUGGCCUAAUAAGCUGAGCUCAUGACGGUACCGUAAGAAUAAGCACCGGCUAACUACGUGCCAGCCGCCGCCGUAA